AUGCCAGGUGUUAUUUUGACUUGUUUACAGACUCUUGGUGGGACACUUAUCUACAAGUCUUUUUACAUUUAAGACAAGUGGUUGUUAUGGAACACUAGGGAUGGAAUCGGGUGUGAUUGCUGAUCCUCAAAUAACAGCAUCGUCUGUACUGGAGUGGACUGACCACACAGGGCAAGAGAAUAGUUGGAAACCUGAGAAGGCCAGGCUGAAAAAGCCUGGCCCUCCUUGGGCUGCUUUUGUCACUGAUGAGUAUCAGUGGUUACAAAUAGAUCUGAAUAAGGAAAAGAAGAUAACAGGCAUUAUAACCACCGGAUCCACUUUGGUGGAACACAAUUACUAUGUGUCUGCCUACAGAAUUAUGUACAGUGACGAUGGGCAGAAAUGGACUGUGUACAGAGAGCCUGGUGUGGAGCAGGAUAAGAUAUUUCAAGGAAACAAAGAUUAUCACCAGGAUGUGCGUAAUAACUUUUUGCCACCAAUUAUUGCACGUUUUAUUAGAGUGAAAGAAAAAGAAAGUCUGCAAAGGCCUAUCCACAAGUAUGGCUGUAUGCUGGACCGGUAGUCAGUGACGGGUAUGAUCCAAUUGCAGUGGUACCAACCUAAGACAGGAGGCUGACGCCUAGAGGUCAGUUCAUCCGAUGACGGGUAAGGACCAUAUGUUGAAUUGGACUGCCUAACAGGCACGGUCCCUAAGCCACAUGCUUGUUGUUUAAACAGAGAGGGGGAGAUGUUGAGAGCCACAGCCAAAGGGGCCCCAGCAAACUUCCAGCUGCCAGCAAACUUCCAG
rnacentral:lncRNA from 1 species